UCACAAGGAGGGCUUGGCCGAGAUCGAGAACGAUGAAGUGGGAAUGGCUGCUACCUGUGGAAAGUGGGUCCUGGGUCCCCGAUGCCCAGCUGUACAGGGAAAGUGACAAGAACCAGAUGAGAUGGUGGCAGAUCUGGAAACUGCAGCAGUCGUUGUGACAUACUGUAAAAGAGCCAGCUCUUCAGGAGGGAAAAAGGAAGACCCACAGGCAUCGGCUCCCAAUCUUCUCC